rnacentral:rRNA from 1 species
AGCGAACGCUGGCGGCGUGCUUAACACAUGCAAGUCGAGUGCGUAGCCCUUUGUAGCAAUACAGAGGGUGGGCGCACGGCGCACGGGUGAGUAACACGGUGGGUAACCCUGCCCUUCGGUGGGGAAUAACCCCGCGAAAGCGGGGCUAAUUCCGCAUAACAUUCCGGGGACACAUGUUCUCGGACUCAAAGGAGUGAUUCGCCGGAGGAGGGCCCGCGCCCGAUUAGCUUGUUGGUAGGUAACGGCCUACCAAGGCUUUGAUCGGUAGCCGGUCUGAGAGGAUGGCCGGCC